rnacentral:rRNA from 1 species
GAUGAACGCUGGCGGCGUGCCUAAUACAUGCAAGUCGAGCGAACGGACGAGAAUCUUGCUUCUCUGAUGUUAGCGGCGGACGGGUGAGUAACACGUGGAUAACCUACCUAUAAGACUGGGAUAACGUCGGGAAACCGGAGCUAAUACCGGAUAAUAUUUUGAACCGCAUGGUUCAAAAGUUAAUGACGGUCUUGCUUUCACUGAUAGAUGGAUCCGGGCUGCAUUAUCUAGUUGGUAAGGUGACGGAUUACCAAGGCAACGAUGCAUAGCCGACCUGAGGGGGUGAUCGGCCACACUGAACUGAGACACGGUCCAGACUCCGACGGGAGGCAGCAGUAGGGAAUCGUAAGCAAGGGGAGAGGGCCGGACGGAGCAGCGCCGCGUGAGUGAUGAAGGUCUUCGGAUCGUAAAACUAUGUUAUUAGGGAAGAACAUAUGUGUAAGUAACUGUGCACAUCUUGACGGUACCUAAUCAGAAAGCCACGGCUAACUACGUG